rnacentral:rRNA from 1 species
GACGAACGCUGGCGGCGUGCUUAACACAUGCAAGUCGAGCGAUGAAGUUCCUUCGGGAAUGGAUUAGCGGCGGACGGGUGAGUAACACGUGGGUAACCUGCCUCAUAGAGGGGAAUAGCCUUUCGAAAGGAAGAUUAAUACCGCAUAAGAUUGUAGUACCGCAUGGUGCAGCAAUUAAAGGAGUAAUCCGCUAUGAGAUGGACCCGCGUCGCAUUAGCUAGUUGGUGAGGUAACGGCUCACCAAGGCGACGAUGCGUAGCCGACCUGAGAGGGUGAUCGGCCACAUUGGGACUGAGACACGGCCCAGACUCCUACGGGAGGCAGCAGUGGGGAAUAUUGCACAAUGGGGGAAACCCUGAUGCAGCAACGCCGCGUGAGUGAUGACGGUCUUCGGAUUGUAAAGCUCUGUCUUCAGGGACGAUAAUGACGGUACCUGAGGAGGAAGCCACGGCUAACUACGUGCCAGCCGCCGCAGUAAUAC